rfam:Tupaia chinensis contig45964, whole genome shotgun sequence.
GUGGUUGCAGCUGCACAUGUACUAGCAUUGGAACGAUACAGAGAAGGUUAACAUGGCCUGUGUUUAAGGACGGCAGGCAAAUUUGUGCAGUGUUCCAUACAGAA